AUACGGAGGGGGCAAGCGUUGUUCGGAAUUACUGGGCGUAAAGCGCGCGUAGGCGGUUUGUUUAGUUAGGCGUGAAAGCCCUGGGCUCAACCCAGGAACUGCGUUUGAUACUGGUUGACUAGAGGCCGGGAGAGGGUAGUGGAAUUCCCAGUGUAGAGGUGAAAUUCGUAGAUAUUGGGAAGAACACCGGUGGCGAAGGCGGCUACCUGGACCGGACCUGACGCUGAGGUGCGAAAGCGUGGGGAGCAAACAGGAUUAGAAACCCGAGUAGUCC
rnacentral:rRNA from 1 species